UACGGAGGGAGCUAGCGUUGUUCGGAAUUACUGGGCGUAAAGCGCGCGUAGGCGGCUUUGUAAGUUAGAGGUGAAAGCCCGGAGCUCAACUCCGGAACUGCCUUUAAAACUGCAUCGCUUGAAUCCAGGAGAGGUGAGUGGAAUCCCGAGUGUAGAGGUGAAAUUCGUAGAUAUUCGGAAGAACACCAGUGGCGAAGGCGGCUCACUGGACUGGUAUUGACGCUGAGGUGCGAAGGCGUGGGGAGCAAACAGG
rnacentral:rRNA from 1 species